UGGUGCAUUGGGGAAGUCAUGUUUUGAUUUUUUAACUAGUUAUCAUAAUAAUUAAGAAAAACUUAUGAAAAUCAUAAGUACGUAAUUUUGAAAAUAUUACAAUUAUUUUCAGAACAUCAUAAAAACAGAAAAACUAUUUUACACUGAAUUGUUUAAUAUUUUUAUAGGUACUGUAUUCUUAAUAUUUUUUACUUGUAUGACACAUAUUUUUU